AAUUUGCGGAUAAAAUGAUACGAGUUCAUUGAAUUUAAUUGGAAAUGAGAUGUGAAACGUGUGUGCGCUCAACUUCUGGUAGCAGCUUACGCGCUCUUCCUACCUUAGUCACUUGAUCCAUCACAUUAAAUAGUAGUCCGGAGGAACUCUUUGAAGUUGGAGUUUUAUGGACAUUUUUAAUUGUGUUUGCAAGGAUUGAUAUGACUUAAGAGCCGAGGAAAAUGGGAGAUGAAGACUCUCCCUCUAAUUCCACGGCUCCAGCUGUCGCCAUUUCUGGUGAUGUGGUCCCCGGGGAGGAUAAUGUUUUGAGUUUUAAUGAUUUUCUCUUUUGGAUGCCUAUGUUGGUGGAUUCUUGGUGGAAAAUACUGGUCUGUGUUAUCGUCGUGGUUCUCAUUUUUACACUAUGUUGUUAUUGUUUCCAAUGCUGCUACUUCUUUUGGGACUGUUGCUCUGAUCCCUAUUGGGGCUAUUGUCCUUGUUUUAGAACCUCUGGUUGUGAGUAUUGCUGCAAGCUCAGAUUCUGCUCUAACAAGAAAAAGAGAAAGAAGUUUGUGAGGAGGAGAAGUGUUCCAGAAGAUGAACAGACUAUCAUCAUUUCAGAAAAAAUGAUUCCAACCAUCAGCUCUGGAUGGAAAUCAGGGAAUACGACCAAAAUCGAUCUUGGAAACAUUGAAGAUGGAAAGAACUCAACAAGGCCUCCAACUAGCAAUGGUUUCUUAGGCUCACGAGAUACUCUCCCCCCGUAUAAAGAUGAUUCUAUAUUUCACUUUAUGGGUCUGGGUCGUCGCAAACGCUCCUAUGCUCUUGAUUCUGGUAUAACAUCUGCCAAUGUCUCAUUUGACGAUGCUGCAAGCUGCAAAAGCUACAAAUCCAUCCUUCCGAAAAAUGAUAUUGAACUCGUGGCUGUUCAAACGAGCGGACGAUAUCCACAAAAAAUUCAAAAAACGAUCCAAGAGCUUUCUGCUCCUCGCGUUUUCCCGGUUAAGGAAGAGGACGAAGAAGGAGACGAGGGAUCUCCUUUCAUGUAUUCCUCUACUCCCAUGUCUAUGUCUCUAGCAAGGUCCACUCCAACUCCAUUCAAAAGUAUUCGCCCUCCAUCAAAUAGUCUUAUACCAGUUAAAGCCAUUCCAGAAUCUCUUAAUACCACACGAACCUCCAGCUAUAAUGAGGAUACGGGAUCGCUGUUGGAGCAUGAUAGUGUGCACUUAAUGCUGUUUGGAAAAGAAACAAUUCUGUAAAUAUGAGCUCACUUAUUGGAAUAGAUAAAAAGUGAUUUUGUGAAAAGCACUGUGUGUUACAUAAGGGAAAAAAUAUGUGUUUAGAUAUUUACGUUUAUUGUGCAUUUUUCUUACUAGAUGAGUGGUACAUCACUUCAAGAACUCGGGGUUAAUCCUCUUUUCUCUGGCCACAUUCCCUAUCAUAAUAUAAAUAUGAUGAUUUAUGCUUCUUUGAAUUUUUCUUCACCUCUCUAUUAAAUGGAGUAUGGAAAAUUAUUAAUGCACUGCCUCCCUGUGUAGUUUUGAAGAAAUCCCUUCCAAUCGAUACAUUAUGUAUUUUCCUCAUUCCCCAUGGUUUUUUUAAUUAAAAGGAAUCCUUAAAUUAUUCCCGGCUCAUUUGGUACCUUUACGACAAUUCGAGGUUUUGUGAUAUUUUACGCUAAAAAGUUUCGUUAUUUUUGUAUUCUACAAAAUUCAUCCUUUGCAAAUUGACAACAAAAAAGAAGUUGGGUAUUUAUUCUCCUCGCUCAUUGCAUUCCUAUCUCCAUAUGACUAACGCAGUGCCAAUUAUUUUUUUGUAUUUCUGCCCUCAUGAUGUAAAAAAAGUUAAAAGUUAAACGAAACUAAUCAAAGAAAUACUAAAUUGUUAAUGUAUAUGAUGAAAUAUUUUAUUAUCAUCUUUUUUUUGUUCUUUGUUGUUUCACGAAUUUGUAAUCUGUACUUAAAAGUUACUUAUGAAUGUGAUUAUGACAUUUAAAAUAAAUAUUAAAAUAUACCACAUUAA
rnacentral:misc_RNA from 1 species